UAAUAAACUGUUACCUUGGCAGCUGAACUAGCAGCAUGGCCUAGCAAAGCCCACAAAACCUCAGUUGAUUAUUCCAGGAACACAGCUGUGGAACACCCCAGCCAUUAAGCAGCUACUCAACUUCUCUGGAAUUCAGACCCCUCCCUGCAACACUUGGGGCUCUUGGAGAUUCAUUUUCCAGUCCGCAAAGGGAAGAUCAAAAGAAAAACCGUAAGGAAAUGGACAGAUGUGGGAGAGCAUGUUCAACACCACAACUUGCUUCUUUCCUUGUAAUGGACCCUGGCUGCACCGAAACUGCACUACACAUUUCUAAGUCUACGUUGGAAAGUUUGAAUACUUCACCAUAACUGCAUCCUAUCCCAAGGGACUGGAACCAAAUGACUGGAACCAACGGUGGCAGGUUUAUGAGGAACAGUGAUGAGAAAAGAGGCUGAGGUACUGAAUCUCGUAACAGCCAGAGAUUCGAAAGAUUAUUCACUAACGCAUUGUGAAAGCAGCGAGCUCUUGGCUGGUGAAAAAAGAAAUGAAUAUCCAUAUGACCUCAUCUGUACACACGGGCAGACUGGCCUACACUCGCCUAAUGGGGAGAGCAUCCCAAGCUUACCACGUUUGGCUAAUGCUGGAGUCUGUGCUGGAAAGACUGUACAGUAUCUCUGUGAGACCAGUGAGGACACACAUGAGGAGGAGCCUCCGGGAUGACUGACCAAUGUCUCCUCAUGAAUCAGUACUCUGACCUCUCCAUGAACGGGCUUUGAGCAUGGUAGAAUGCAACUAUUUAUUUUGGUCUGCUUAAAUAAACAGAAGAUGAGUUAAUCUUAAUCUAUUGAUAAUGAAAAAGAUAU
rnacentral:lncRNA from 1 species